rnacentral:rRNA from 1 species
GCUGGCACAGCGAUAGUACGUCGAGUGCACCAGAGUUUCCUGAUUGAUCACUGAAAUUAAGCAACGUUGCGCGUGGUUGGUAUCCGGAUGGGUGACCAUCUGGGCAAUCCUGUGCUGCUGGAU